rnacentral:rRNA from 1 species
CCUACGGGAGGCAGCAGUAAGGGAUAUUGCACAAUGGACGGAAGUCUGAUGCAGCGACGCCGCGUGGGUGAAGAAGGUUUUCGGAUCGUAAAGCCCUUUUCUAUGUGACGAGAGAGGACGGUAGCAUAGGAAUAAGUGUCGGCUAACUACGUGCCAGCAGCCGCGGUAAAACGUAGGACGCGAACGUUAUCCGGAGUUACUGGGCGUAAAGCGCGCGUAGGCGGUUAUUUAAGUUACCUAUGAAAGAUACAGGCUAAACUUGUAUUGGUUAGGUAAAACUGGAUAACUAGAGAGAAAUAGAGGGAAGUAGAAUUCCGGGUGUAGUGGUGAAAUGCGUAGAUAUCCGGAGGAAUACCAGUGGCGAAGGCGGCUUCCUGGAUUUCCACUGACGCUGAUGCGCGAAAGCGUGGGUAGCGAACGGGAUUAGAAACCCCGGUAGUCCACGCCGUAAACGAUGUACAUUAGGCGUUCGGUUACGCAAGUAAUUGAGUGUCGCAGCAAACGCGAUAAAUGACCGCCUG